CACACGUUUUUCUGGGCAAUGAAUGUCGAACGUUACUGCUUUUGCGUCAUACUGAAGCUCCAUGUUUAGCAAUCUUGAUUAGCGCAAUUUAACCUUAACGUCCAGCAUAGAUAUAAACACUAUAUCUAUGAACGUCCAGCAACAACACACAUGUUAGUAGGAAGUUAAUGAACUCAUAAAUUCGGUUUUGUUUCUCCAAAACACGAGUGAACUUUGGUGUGACAUUUGAAAGGUGGAGGCAUCUUGGGAUUUACUGGAGUUGGCAUUAUAUUUGUUGGAAAGCCGCCACCCCAACCCCUUAUCCUCUCCUCACCCCUCUUCCCAUCCUUUGUCUCCUCCAGAGUCUCUAGGAGCUUGAUAUGGAGCUUAUGGGAAAAAGGAGGAAGAUCAAUCCUGGUGUCAGCAGCUCAGCGCACAUCUCUCCCAGUAACGGCAGGACAAGUGUCAGCUGGAGGAGAGGCAGCUGCCGCCAUGCAGAGAGAAAGAGAGAGAGAGAGAGAGAGAGAGAGCGAGCGACCUCUACACGUGCUAUGGAAGAAACCAGAAUCUCCAGUGAGUGAGCGCCUUGACUUGGUUCUGGGAGUUGAUGGCCCAGCAGGUCUGCCUGCAUUUGAAUGUCAAAGAGCAUCUCGGAGCUGUCACGGCCCGUCUGCCACACGGGGAGGAACUUCCCUCCAGUCCUCGCCGUUAACCACAAGGCACCUGGACAGGAGAGAGGAUGGCGUGGAGUGGCGGUUGAUGUGAGGGAAAGACAAUCAGGAGAGCAGAGACUGAAGUCUUUUGCUGCCGUCAGAGUGAUUAGGUGUGGCUGCGGAGGCCAGCUUCCUACCCCCAUCUUCCGAAGGUCCUAAUUUUAUGUGUCUCCAAUCCCCUGAAGAUGGGCAGUAAUCAGUUUGUUCCUGUCUGCUGGCUUUCUGGGAGGGAAAGGCGGCACUAAUCAGAAGUGGCGUAGCACUCGCAGAUGCCAGGCAAAGGGGAGGGGAGCAAGAUGACACCUCACGGAUUUAUUACCUCCCCAUCUCCAUCCUGAGCUGGGCGAAUCCUGCAUAAAAUGGGCAAAAUAAAUUAAGCUAACCUCCGUGUUAACCAAACAUGGCAAAAACAAGCCUGGAAAUCCUGAAUCAUGAGAGACCUCUUGAGUUUUGCCUUUGUACUGAAACUGUUUGUAUUUGCAUGUAUGAAUUAAUAUCCUCAAUUCAUUGUUACCAUUUCUUUUAUCAUUUAGAUUUUCUCUACUGUGCCUCCAAGAUCAAAAUGUGAUUCAUUUUAAGUUAAUGGUACAGUAAAUUACACUCGAACUAUGUGCUUAAUAUAUCGGCUGCAAUUAAUGACUAUUUUUCAUCCUUGAUUAAUCCGCAGAUAAAAAAAAAAGAAGCUGUAUCCAUACUAACAUACUGACCUAAUAAUACUAUUAUACUGUUAAUACACAGCUUAAAGUUACAUGGCAAGAAUACAAUUGUAUAUAAAACUAGAUUGGGAUUCUGAAAAAGGCUAAACAUUUUAAAAAUUUUCAUUAAAAAAAAAAAUUCCUUCUUUUGUUCUAUGGUUUAUGUUUAGUUUGCAUUAUCUAAAAUGGUAUAACCCCACUUUGUAGUCUGGUUGUUAGGCCAUGCCCUAAUAAGUUUUGCAAUUGAGCAUCACAUUAAGGCUUUGACCUUUCGAUGUAACUAAACUGGCCUUUUCACCCACAGACAUUCACCUUUGGCCUCUGUCAUUCUCAAUACUCCGUGCACAGGUUAUGAGUUUAGUAUUGAUUAUAUCUCGUCUUAAAGAUGUUCAGGUAUUGAGCCCUUUUCAGUUUGUGGUGGAUUGAAUGGGAGACUACAUAUUCAAUGAAUUAUCUGUGGAAUAUGUUUUCGACCUGGCAAGUGUUUCAUAAUACAGGUGCAUUAGGUCCAUGAUAGAUUCAAAUGUGUGACUUGAGACUUAUCUAUUUAUCAACCUUCAGCCAUUCAUUUUACUUAACAGUC